rnacentral:misc_RNA from 1 species
GAUGAAUUCGCUUUCGAUGUUAGUCAAGAAUUGGAAAUUGGCUCUGUUUCAGCUGAAGAAUUGUUUGAUGGUGGUAUGAUUAAACCAUCCCCUGUUUUACAAACUCAGAAGAAAAACAGAGUAGGAGUUUCUGCGAAAAACAAAAAAGUUCAAGAAACAGAGUAUUUAAGAAAAAGUAGUGUAACAGAGAGGGAAAGCAGGGGAAAACAGAGAGGUUCGUCGAAUGGGUUGUCGA